GACUCUUCGGAGUUAGUGGCGGACGGGUGAGUAACACGUGGGAACGUGCCUUUUGGUUCGGAAUAGCUCCUGGAAACGGGUGGUAAUGCCGAAUGUGCCCUUCGGGGGAAAGAUUUAUCGCCAUUAGAGCGGCCCGCGUCUGAUUAGCUAGUUGGUGAGGUAAAGGCUCACCAAGGCUACGAUCAGUAGCUGGUCUGAGAGGAUGACCAGCCACAUUGGGACUGAGACACGGCCCAAACUCCUACGGGAGGCAGCAGUGGGGAAUCUUGCGCAAUGGGCGAAAGCCUGACGCAGCCAUGCCGCGUGAAUGAUGAAGGUCUUAGGAUUGUAAAAUUCUUUCAGUAGGGACGAUAAUGACGGUACCUACAGAAGAAGCCCCGGCUAACUUCGUGCCAGCAGCCGCGGUAAUACGAAGGGGGCUAGCGUUGCUCGGAAUUACUGGGCGUAAAGGGAGCGUAGGCGGACAUUUAAGUCAGGGGUGAAAUCCCAGAGCUCAACUCUGGAACUGCCUUUGAUACUGGGUGUCUUGAGUGUGAGAGAGGUAUGUGGAACUCCGAGUGUAGAGGUGAAAUUCGUAGAUAUUCGGAAGAACACCAGUGGCGAAGGCGACAUACUGGCUCAUUACUGACGCUGAGGCUCGAAAGCGUGGGGAGCAAACAGGAUUAGAUACCCUGGUAGUCCACG
rnacentral:rRNA from 1 species